rnacentral:rRNA from 1 species
CCUACGGGAGGCAGCAGUGAGGAAUAUUGGUCAAUGGACGAGAGUCUGAACCAGCCAAGUAGCGUGAAGGAUGACUGCCCUAUGGGUUGUAAACUUCUUUUAUAUGGGAAUAAAACGUUCCACGUGUGGGAUUUUGUUUGUACCAUAUGAAUAAGGAUCGGCUAACUCCGUGCCAGCAGCCGCGGUAAUACGGAGGAUCCGAGCGUUAUCCGGAUUUAUUGGGUUUAAAGGGAGCGUAGGUGGAUUGUUAAGUCAGUUGUGAAAGUUUGCGGCUCAACCGUAAAAUUGCAGUUGAAACUGGCAGUCUUGAGUACAGUAGAGGUGGGCGGAAUUCGUGGUGUAGCGGUGAAAUGCUUAGAUAUCACGAAGAACUCCGAUUGCGAAGGCAGUUCACUGGACUGCAACUGACACUGAGGCUCGAAAGUGUGGGUAUCAAACAGGAUUAGAUACCCCUGUAGUC